rnacentral:misc_RNA from 1 species
AAUCAGGUAAAGUGUACUUGCCUAAGUUGGAUGUAGCCUGCAAAAGCAAACCACACCAAAUGAAAUGAUAAAUCAAAAUCUGAGAAAGAAAAGAAGUUCUACAAUAAUUUUAAUAACAAAAGCAUGCUAGAAACAGCAUGAAUUAAGAUAGAACACAAGUUGGAAGCAAAUUAAAAAAAGCAAUGCAAGCACAAAUCCACAUGAUGAAUAAUUA